UAGAGUUUGAUCCUGGCUCAGGACGAACGCUGGCGGCGUGCCUAAUACAUGCAAGUAGAACGCUGAAAGUCGGUGCUUGCACCGACUGGAUGAGUUGCGAACGGGUGAGUAACACGUGGGGAACCUACCUCUUAGCGGGGGAUAACACAUAGAAAUGUGUGCUAAUACCGCAUAAUUGCUUUUGUCGCAUGGCGAGAGUAUGAAAGGCGCAAUUGCGUCACUAAGAGAUGGCCCCGCGGUGCAUUAGCUAGUUGGUGAGGUAAUGGCUCACCAAGGCUGCGAUGCAUAGCCGACCUGAGAGGGUGAUCGGCCACAUUGGGACUGAGACACGGCCCAAACUCCUACGGGAGGCAGCAGUAGGGAAUCUUCGGCAAUGGACGGAAGUCUGACCGAGCAACGCCGCGUGAGUGAAGAAGGUUUUCGGAUCGUAAAACUCUGUUGAUAGAGAAGAACGUGCGUGAGAGUGGAAAGUUCAUGCAGUGACGGUAUCUAUCCAGAAAGGGACGGCUAACUACGUGCCAGCAGCCGCGGUAAUACGUAGGUCCCAAGCGUUGUCCGGAUUUAUUGGGCGUAAAGCGAGCGCAGGCGGUUUGAUAAGUUGGAUGUCAAAGGCAAUGGCUCAACCAUUGUACGCAUCCAAAACUGUCAGACUUGAGUGCGGGAGAGGAGAGUGAAAUUCCAUGUGUAGCGUGAAAUGCGUAGAUAUAUGGAGGAAACACCAGUGGCGAA
rnacentral:rRNA from 1 species